rnacentral:rRNA from 1 species
UACGAAGGGUGCAAGCGUUACUCGGAAUUACUGGGCGUAAAGCGUGCGUAGGUGGUUUGUUAAGUCUGAUGUGAAAGCCCUGGGCUCAACCUGGGAAUGGCAUUGGAUACUGGCGAGCUAGAGUGCGGUAGAGGAUGGCGGAAUUCCCGGUGUAGCAGUGAAAUGCGUAGAGAUCGGGAGGAACAUCUGUGGCGAAGGCGGCCAUCUGGACCAGCACUGACACUGAGGCACGAAGGCGUGGGGAGCAAACAGG